GGUCAACCUAGUUAACGAUGGACCAGUCACCAUGCAGCUCGAUUCAUUGCAAUCAACCAGGAAUGCUCAGUCUGCAGCCGAAGAGUAGGGAAAGUUGUUAUGGUGUAUGAUAUCCACGAACCUCACAAAUCUCAAAUUGUAGAAUUCUUUGGACGUAAUGCCAGUAACGAUGUGAUCAGUGAAAAUAUACCCUCACUGAACUUACUGGGUUUUGUCUGGCAUUGCCUGAACUCUUUCUGUAUGAUCUAGUAGAAUAGGUGAAGUGUAUGACGCACUCGAUAAUACAAUAAGCUUCAUUCGUGG